rfam:Zea mays cultivar B73 chromosome 2, whole genome shotgun sequence.
GGAUGGUAUCAUACCAGCACUAAAGCACCGGAUCCCAUUAGAACUCCGAAGUUAAGCAUGCUUGGAUGAGAGUAGUGCUAAGAUGGGUGAUCUUCUGGGAAGUCCUCAUGUUGCAUUCC